rnacentral:rRNA from 1 species
GGCUCAGAUUGAACGCUGGCGGCAGGCCUAACACAUGCAAGUCGAGCGGUAGAGAGAAGCUUGCUUCUCUUGAGAGCGGCGGACGGGUGAGUAAUGCCUAGGAAUCUGCCUGGUAGUGGGGGAUAACGUUCGGAAACGGACGCUAAUACCGCAUACGUCCUACGGGAGAAAGCAGGGGACCUUCGGGCCUUGCGCUAUCAGAUGAGCCUAGGUCGGAUUAGCUAGUUGGUGAGGUAAUGGCUCACCAAGGCGACAAUCNGNAACUGGUCUGAGAGGAUGAUCAGUCACACUGGAACUGAGACACAGUCCAGACUCCUANNGGAGGCAGCAGUGGGGAAUAUUNNNCAAUGGGCGAAAGCCUGAUCCAGCCAUGCCGCGUGUGUGAAGANNNUCUUCGGAUUGUAAAGCACUUUAAGUUGGGAGGAAGGGCAGUUACCUAAUACGUGAUUGUUUUGACGUUNNNGACAGAAUAAGCACCGGCUAACUCUG